rnacentral:misc_RNA from 1 species
AAGUCGUAACAAGGUUUCCGUAGGUGAACCUGCGGAAGGAUCAUUAACAUUUGGAUUUGGAGUGGGUGUGUGAGGAUUUUGCGAUCUUUGGAUUUUGCGAUCUUUGGAUUGUACGAUCCUUGCCACCUUCCUACCCCACAUUGUGUGCAUUUCUGUAGUAGUAGUAGAGUUGUGGUAUGGAUUAAAGGAAACUUUGAUCUAGCUACCUCUCUUCUUCUCCUCUCAUACAUCAAAACCCCUACCUUUUACUCAUCUAGUCUGAACUUAACACCUUUUUUCUCACUUACAAUGAGGAAAAAACCAAUCAGCAUACAACUCUUAGCAACGGAUAUCUAGGCUCUC